GAACGUGAAGCCACCUUCGGGUGGUGGAAAGUGGCAGACGGGUGAGUAACGCGUGGGAACGUGCCUUUCGGUUCGGGAUAACCCAGGGAAACUUGGGCUAAUACCGGAUACGCCCUUCGGGGGAAAGAUUCAUCGCCGAAAGAUCGGCCCGCGUCGGAUUAGCUUGUUGGUGGGGUAACGGCCUACCAAGGCGACGAUCCGUAGCUGGUCUGAGAGGAUGACCAGCCACACUGGGACUGAGACACGGCCCAGACUCCUACGGGAGGCAGCAGUGGGGAAUAUUGGACAAUGGGCGCAAGCCUGAUCCAGCCAUGCCGCGUGGGUGAAGAAGGCCCUAGGGUGUAAACCCCUUUCAGCGGGGAAGAUAAUGACGGUACCCGCAGAAGAAGCCCCGGCUAACUCCGUG
rnacentral:rRNA from 1 species